rnacentral:rRNA from 1 species
UACGUAGGGGUCGAGCGUUGUCCGGAGUUACUGGGCGUAAAGCGUGCGCAGGCGGCUCUCUGCGCCCGGCGUGAAAGCCCCCGGCUCAACCGGGGAGGGUCGUCGGGGACGGGAGAGCUUGAGGGUAUCAGGGGCUGGUGGAAUUCCCGGUGUAGUGGUGAAAUGCGUAGAGAUCGGGAGGAACACCCGUGGCGAAGGCGGCCAGCUGGGACACACCUGACGCUGAGGCACGAAGGCGUGGGGAGCGAACGGG